AAUCAACGCUGGCGGCGUGCCUAACACAUGCAAGUCGAGCGCGAAAGGGGUAACCCGAGUAGAGCGGCGCACGGGUGCGUAACACGUGGGUAAUCUGCCUCGAGGAGCCGGAUAACCAUCCGAAAGGAUGGCUAAUACGGCAUAAGCCCCCGGAGUCUUCGGACUCUGAGGGAAAAGGGUGGCCUCUGUUUACAAGCUACCGCCCUGAGAUGAGCCCGCGGCCCAUCAGCCCGUUGGCGGGGUAAUGGCCCACCAAGGCAACGACGGGUAGCUGGUCUGAGAGGACGAUCAGCCACACUGGAACUGAGACACGGUCCAGACUCCUACGGGAGGCAGCAGUGGGGAAUUUUGCGCAAUGGGCGAAAGCCUGACGCAGCAACGCCGCGUGUGUGAUGAAGGUCUUCGGAUUGUAAAGCACUUUCGACCGGGACGAAAAAGCGGGUGCUAAUCAGCCCGCCUUGACGGUACCGGGAGAAGAAGCACCGGCUAACUCCGUGCCAGCCGCCGCGGUAAAAC
rnacentral:rRNA from 1 species